rnacentral:rRNA from 1 species
CUCUGCUAAGUCGGCUUCAAGACGACGUAUAGGGUCUGACGCCUGCCCGGUGCCGGAAGGUUAAAAGGAGAGGUGCAAGCCUUGAAUUGAAGCCCCGGUAAACGGCGGCCGUAACAAUAACGGUCCUAAGGUAGCGAAAUUCCUUGUCGGGUAAGUUCCGACCUGCACGAAUGGAGUAACGAUUUCCCUACUGUCUCCACCAUGAACUCGGUGAAAUUGCAUUACGAGUAAAGAUGCUCGUUACGCGCAGCAGGACGGAAAGACCCCGGGACCUUUACUAUAGUUUGGUAUUGGUGAUUGGGACGGUUUGUGUAGGAUAGGUGGGAGACGUUGAUGCGGCCACGCUAGUGGUGGUGGAGUCGUUGGUGAAAUACCACUCUGAUUGUUCUGGUUAUCUCACUGUGGACCGUGAUCCGGUUCAAGGACAGUGCCUGAUGGGUAGUUUGACUGGGGCGGUCGCCUCCUAAAGGGUAACGGAGGCGCCCAAAGGUUCCCUCAGCCUGGUUGGUAAUCAGGUGGUGAGUGUAAGUGCACAAGGGGGCUUGACUGUGAGACUGACAGGUCGAGCAGGGACGAAAGUCGGGACUAGUGAUCUGACGGUGGCUUGUGGAUGCGCCGUCACUCAACGGAUAAAAGGUACCCCGGGGAUAACAGGCUGAUCUUGCCCGAGCGCUCAUAGCGACGGCAUGGUUUGGCACCUCGAUGUCGGCUCGUCACAUCCUGGGGCUGGAGAAGGUCCCAAGGGUUGGGCUGUUCGCCCAUUAAAGUGGCACGCGAGCUGGGUUCAGAACGUCGCGAGACAGUUCGGUCCCUAUCUGUUGUGGGCGUUGGAAUUUUGAGUGGGGCUGACCUUAGUACGAGAGGACCGGGUUGGACGAACCUCUGGUGUUCCGGUUGUCACGCCAGUGGCACUGCCGGGUAGCUACGUUCGGAAGAGAUAACCGCUGAAAGCAUCUAAGCGGGAAACUCGCCUCGAGAUGAGAUCUCACUGGAGCCUCGAGCUCCCUGAAGGGCCGUCGCAGACUACGACGUUGAUAGGUGGGGUGUGUAAGCGUUGUGAGGCGUUGAGCUAACCCAUACUAAUGGCCC